GGAAGGUUACUCAAGAGGUUAUAAGAGGACGCACUGCUAACGCGUUAGGGUGUAAAAGCCGCGAGGGUCCGAAUCCCUCACCUUCCGCCA
rnacentral:tRNA from 1 species